GCUGGGCGUAGUGGCGUGUGCCUGUAGUCCCAGCUAUUCGGGAAGCUGUGGCAGGAGGACUGCUGGAGCCCAGGAGAUCAAGGCUGCAGUGAGCUAUGACCACACCACUGCACUCCAGCCUGGGCAACAGAGUAGGACCCUGUCUCAA
rnacentral:SRP_RNA from 1 species